ensembl:lncRNA
GUGGUGACGUCAGGAAGGCUGACGGGAGCAGUCAGAGGGGGUCUAGCCACCUUAAAUCCAGGAACAGCUCCCUGCCCUGAGCCGGCCUACUCUCUGUACUCUACCGACUCCGAGGACCAGUGUCUCCAAGGCUUCACAGAACAGUAAGCAGUGUAGCAGUCAAACCAAGGCUAUCCACAUCAAUGGGGAAAAAGAGCUUGAAGAAAGGGCCUCCAAAGGCAGGCCAGAAGAGCGUGUCAGGCCAGCGUGGAUCGGACAGCAGAACUCCACGAGGACACCCAUCUGCCCGUCCUGCACCACAUUCAGGAGUGAAGCUACAUCCACCUCAGAAACGAUGUCCCACCCAGCUGCAGUCUCACUUACUUUCAGCACACGACCAAACACCUCGACUUCUUCCUCACACCGUCAGUCCACCCCAGCACGAGGCGUCCAUCCUUCUGUCUGUGCGUCAGUCCUCCUCUCUCUCGAGCCAUCAGACUGCCUGCCGGCCUGACUCUGAAACGCCUCACACUACGUGUGAUGAAGCACAAGAGUUUGUUCCUGUGAGAGACACAAACACCCAGAGCCCCAGCACACACACUCUCACACAUGCACAUGGAGACAGCUGCAGUAUGAAGAUGGCACACUUACAGCUGGAGCCUGGACAGGCUGAGGAGAGCAACAUUGAGGCACAAACAAAAGCUCACAAGCUUCAGUAUCUAUUCGCACAACUCAAGGCUCUGAUUGCUGGACAAGGCAGUGUAGCAGAGAGCCUACUCAGUCAUCUGGAGCAGACUGUGUCCCCAGCACAGAUGAAUAUUAGUGCUUCAAACACCCAGAGUGUGUCCGACCUGCACAGGUGUGUGAGGAUCCUGGACCAGCAGCCAGAGACGGAGAGACAUCAGAACCAGGCGAUACUCUGGCAGAGACUUCAGAAAGAGCUCACUGCUGCUCAGUCCAGGCUGCAGGAACUCCAAGAUGACCUGACGGACCUACGGAAAACCCUGCAGGACACACAGAGCCAGCUGAGAGACCGAGAGGCUGAAACUGCACUCGUUAAGAUGGAGCUGGAGGCCAGUAAGAGUAGGUUACUGGACAGUGAGCGGGAGAAGAGUAAGCUGGCCUCGCUGGCACAGCAAAGGCUGAAGGAGAUGGAACACCUUAAAAGUCUCCUCUCAUCAGAUUAUCCUGCUGUUGUUGACAGCUCUGUGUCAGAGACAAGCCAACACCAGCACAGACGGGAUCCGCCAGCGCCCCCUACUGACCAUAUCGCCCAAUACCUGAAGUCUCUUAGCCAGAUGGCGCCUGUGCAGUGUGUGGAUGCAGAGAGAGAUUCAGACUCAGCAUCACAUCUAGACAUCACCGCUCAGAGGAGUGAAGAUCCUGCAGGGACUCGGCACGAGUCUAAUCGUGAGCGGUCCACUGGUCCAGGUGAAGCCCUGCGGCCAGAGGACGCUCGCAGGCAGCUGUUUAACUCCACGCUGUCCCAGAGUGAAACAGAGUCUGUGUGGUCUGAUUUGACCUUUGACACCAGAGACGAAGCAGCGUUCAGAGACGGUCUGGCAGCUUUAGAUGCUAGCAUAGCCAGUCUGCAGAAGACUAUUAAGCUGGACCUGAGGAGGUGA